rnacentral:rRNA from 1 species
CUUAACACAUGCAAGUCGAGGGGCAGCAUGGUCUUAGCUUGCUAAGGCCGAUGGCGACCGGCGCACGGGUGAGUAACACGUAUCCAACCUGCCGUCUACUCUUGGACAGCCUUCUGAAAGGAAGAUUAAUACAAGAUGGCAUCAUGAGUCCGCAUGUUCACAUGAUUAAAGGUAUUCCGGUAGACGAUGGGGAUGCGUUCCAUUAGAUAGUAGGCGGGGUAACGGCCCACCUAGUCUUCGAUGGAUAGGGGUUCUGAGAGGAAGGUCCCCCACAUUGGAACUGAGACACGGUCCAAACUCCUACGGGAGGCAGCAGUGAGGAAUAUUGGUCAAUGGGCGAGAGCCUGAACCAGCCAAGUAGCGUGAAGGAUGACUGCCCUAUGGGUUGUAAACUUCUUUUAUAAAGGAAUAAAGUCGGGUAUGCAUACCCGUUUGCAUGUACUUUAUGAAUAAGGAUCGGCUAACUCCGUGCCAGCAGCCGCGGUAAUACGGAGGAUCCGAGCGUUAUCCGGAUUUAUUGGGUUUAAAGGGAGCGUAGAUGGAUGUUUAAGUCAGUUGUGAAAGUUUGCGGCUCAACCGUAAAAUUGCAGUUGAUACUGGAUAUCUUGAGUGCAGUUGAGGCAGGCGGAAUUCGUGGUGUAGCGGUGAAAUGCUUAGAUAUCACGAAGAACUCCGAUUGCGAAGGCAGCCUGCUAAGCUGCAACUGACAUUGAGGCUCGAAAGUGUGGGUAUCAAACAGGAUUAGAUACCCUGGUAGUCCACACGGUAAACGAUGAAUACUCGCUGUUUGCGAUAUACAGCAAGCGGCCAAGCGAAAGCGUUAAGUAUUCCACCUGGGGAGUACGCCGGCAACGGUGAAACUCAAAGGAAUUGACGGGGGCCCGCACAAGCGGAGGAACAUGUGGUUUAAUUCGAUGAUACGCGAGGAACCUUACCCGGGCUUAAAUUGCAGAUGAAUUACGGUGAAAGCCGUAAGCCGCAAGGCAUCUGUGAAGGUGCUGCAUGGUUGUCGUCAGCUCGUGCCGUGAGGUGUCGGCUUAAGUGCCAUAACGAGCGCAACCCUUGUUGUCAGUUACUAACAGGUUCCGCUGAGGACUCUGACAAGACUGCCAUCGUAAGAUGUGAGGAAGGUGGGGAUGACGUCAAAUCAGCACGGCCCUUACGUCCGGGGCUACACACGUGUUACAAUGGGGGGGUACAGAGGGCCGCUACCACGCGAGUGGAUGCCAAUCCCAAAAACCUCUCUCAGUUCGGACUGGAGUCUGCAACCCGACUCCACGAAGCUGGAUUCGCUAGUAAUCGCGCAUCAGCCACGGCGCGGUGAAUACGUUCCCGGGCCUUGUACACACCGCCCGUCAAGCCAUGGGAGCCGGGGGUACCUGAAGUGCGUAACCGCGAGGAGCGCCCUAGGGUAAAACUGGUGACUGGGGCUAAAU